UAGUGAUCUGGAGGAAUACCGGUGGUGAAGGCGGCCCCCUGGACAAAGACUGACGAUCAUGUGCGAAAGAGUGGGGAGCAAACAGGAUUAGAUGACCCCGUAGUUUCUCCCCGUAAACGAUGUCGACUCCGAGGUUGUUCCCCCGAUGAGUGGCUUCCUGAGCUAACGCCGUAAGUCGACCGCCUCGUGAGUACGGCCGCAACGUUAAAAAUCAAAAGAAUUGACGGGGGGCCCCCCCAGCGGUGGAGCAUGAGGUUUAAUUCGACGCAACGGCAAGAACCUCACCUACUUUUGACAUCCAGCGAACUUCCCAGAGAUGAUUUGGUGCCUUCGGGAACUUUUAGACAGGUGGUGCAUGGCGGUUGUCAGCUCGUGUUGUGAAAAAUUGGGUUAAGUCCCGCAACGAGGGCAACCCUUAUCCUUUGUUGCCAGCGGUUCGGCCGGGAACUCAAAGGAGGCUUCCAGCGAUAAAAUGGAGGAAGGUGGGGAGGACGUCAAGUCAUCAUGGCCCUUACGAGUAGGGGUACACACCUGGUACAAUGGUGCAUACAAAGAGAAGCGACCUCGUGAGAGCAAGCGGACGUCAUAAAAUGCGUCGUAGUCCGGAUUGGAGUAUGCAACUCGACUCCAUGAAGUCGGAAUCGUUAGUAAUUGUAGAUCAGAAUGAUACGGUGAAUACGUUCUCCGGGCCUCGUACACCCCGCCCGUCACCCCAUGGGAGUGGGGUGCAAAAGAAGUAGGUAGCUUAACCUUCGGGAGG
rnacentral:rRNA from 1 species